CGCCAAUCCACACCAUCCCCCGUUUGCCCUUUUAAUGAGGCUCCCCAUCUGGAUGGACGACAGUCUGCUGUGUGCCUGAUUAAUGGUGUGGAGAGACAGUUGUCAGUUUGAAAGCGCUGCUGUGUGACCCAGGACAGAACAUCCAGAAGGUGGACUAAUGUUAGUCCAAGUCAUCCAGGACAUGGAAAAAUAAAAGAAUAAAGAUGAAG